AUUGAACGCUGGCGGCAUGCCUUACACAUGCAAGUCGAACGGCAGCACGGGGCAACCUGGUGGCGAGUGGCGAACGGGUGAGUAAUGCAUCGGAACGUACCUUUCAGUGGGGGAUAACGUAGCGAAAGUUACGCUAAUACCGCAUAUUCUGUGAGCAGGAAAGCAGGGGAUCGCAAGACCUUGCGCUGAUUGAGCGGCCGAUGUCAGAUUAGCUAGUUGGUGAGGUAAAGGCUCACCAAGGCGACGAUCUGUAGCGGGUCUGAGAGGAUGAUCCGCCACACUGGAACGGAGACACGGUCCAGACUCCUACGGGAGGCAGCAGUGGGGAAUGUUGGACAAUGGGGGCAACCCUGAUCCAGCCAUGCCGCGUGAGUGAAGAAGGCCUUCGGGUUGUACAGCUCUUUCGGCCGGGAAGAAAUCGCACGGGCUAAUACCCUGUGUGGAUGACGGUACCGGAAUAAGAAGCACCGGCUAACUACGUGCCAGCCGCCGCGGUAAAAC
rnacentral:rRNA from 1 species